rnacentral:rRNA from 1 species
UACAGAGGUCUCGAGCGUUAGGCGGAAUCACUGGGCUUAAAGCGUGUGUAGGUGGAUCGUUAAGUACCUUGUGAAAUCCCACGGCUUAACCGUGGAACUGCUUGGUAUACUGGCGGUCUUGAGCCACUUAGGGGGCUACCGGGAACAAAAUGGUGGAGCGGGUGAAAAUGCGUAGAUAUCAUUUUGGAACGCCAAUGGUGAAAAACAGGGUAGCUGGGGAGUGUGCUGACACUGGAGACACGAAAAGCCCAGGGGGGAGCAAAACGGGGAUUAGAAAACCCCCCAGUAGUC